rnacentral:rRNA from 1 species
CCUACGGGAGGCAGCAGUGGGGAAUAUUGCACAAUGGGGGAAACCCUGAUGCAGCGACGCCGCGUGGGUGACGAAGUAUUUCGGUAUGUAAAGCCCUAUCAGCAGGGAAGAAGAUGACAGUACCUGACCAAGAAGCCCCGGCUAACUACGUGCCAGCAGCCGCGGUAAUACGUAGGGGGCAAGCGUUAUCCGGAUUUACUGGGUGUAAAGGGAGCGUAGGUGGCAUGGCAAGCCAGAAGUGAAAACCCGGGGCUUAACCCCGCGGAUUGCUUUUGGAACUGUCAGGCUGGAGUGCAGGAGGGGUAGGCGGAAUUCCUGGUGUAGCGGUGAAAUGCGUAGAUAUCAGGAGGAACACCGGUGGCGAAGGCGGCCUGCUGGACUGUAACUGACACUGAGGCUCGAAAGCGUGGGGAGCAAACAGGAUUAGAUACCCCGGUAGUC